rnacentral:rRNA from 1 species
AUUGAACGCUGGCGGCAUGCCUUACACAUGCAAGUCGAACGGUAACAGGUCUUCGGAUGCUGACGAGUGGCGGACGGGUGCGUAAUACAUCGGCACGUGUCCGAUCGCGGGGGAACACGAAGAGCAAGCUUUGCUAAUACCGCAUACGAUAUACGGAUGAAAACCGCGGACCGCAAGGCCUUACGACAAUGGUGCGGCCGCUGAUAGAUUAGGUAGUUGGUAGGUUAAAAGCUUACCAAGCCAACGAUGAGUAGCUGGCCUGAGAGGACGACCCGCCACAAUGGAACUGAGACACGGCCCAGACUCCUACGGGAGGCAGCAGUAGGGAAUCUUGGACAAUGGGCGAAAGCCUGACCCAGCCACGCCGCGUGCAGGAUGAAGGUCUUCGGGUUGUAAACUGCUUUUGUACGGGACGAAAAGACUCUGAUUAAUACCUGGAGUCCAUGACGGUACCGUAAGAAUAAGCACCGGCUAACUACGUG